rnacentral:rRNA from 1 species
AGAGUGAACGCUGGCGGUAGGCCUAACACAUGCAAGUCGAACGGCAGCACAGUGGUAGCAAUACCAUGGGUGGCGAGUGGCGGACGGGUGAGGAAUACAUCGGAAUCUACCUUUUCGUGGGGGAUAACGUAGGGGAACUUACGCUAAUACCGCAUACGCCCUUCGGGGGAAAGCCGGGGAUCGCAAGACCUGGCGCGGAUAGAUGAGCCGAUGUCGGAUUAGCUAGUUGGUGAGGUAAUGGCUCACCAAGGCGACGAUCCGUAGCUGGUCUGAGAGGAUGAUCAGCCACACUGGAACUGAGACACGGUCCAGACUCCUACGGGAGGCAGCAGUGGGGAAUAUUGGACAAUGGGCGCAAGCCUGAUCCAGCCAUACCGCGGUGGGUGAAGAAGGCCUUCGGGUUUAGUAAAGUCCCCGUUUUAGUUACGGGAAAGAAAAGCAAAUCGGUUAAUUACCCGGUUGUUCGUAGACGGUACCCAAAGAAUAAGACACCGCUAACUUCGU